GACGAACGCUGGCGGCGUGCUUAACACAUGCAAGUCGAACGGAAAGGCCCUGCUUUUGUGGGGUGCUCGAGUGGCGAACGGGUGAGUAACACGUGAGUAACCUGCCCUUGACUUUGGGAUAACUUCAGGAAACUGGGGCUAAUACCGGAUAGGAGCUCCUGCUGCAUGGUGGGGGUUGGAAAGUUUCGGCGGUUGGGGAUGGACUCGCGGCUUAUCAGCUUGUUGGUGGGGUAGUGGCUUACCAAGGCUUUGACGGGUAGCCGGCCUGAGAGGGUGACCGGCCACAUUGGGACUGAGAUACGGCCCAGACUCCUACGGGAGGCAGCAGUGGGGAAUAUUGCACAAUGGACGGAAGCCUGAUGCAGCAACGCCGCGUGCGGGAUGACGGCCUUCGGGUUGUAAACCGCUUUCGCCUAUGACGAAGCGUGAGUGACGGUAAUGGGUAAAGAAGCACCGGCUAACUACGUG
rnacentral:rRNA from 1 species